CAUAGGCUUGGUCCCAGCCUUUUCAUUAGUUUUCAAUAAAUUUACACAUGCAAGUAUCCGCCUACCGGUGAAAAUGCCCUUUAAUCUAUAAAAGUUAAAAGGAGCUGGUAUCAAGCACGCUAUAAAGCAGCUAAUAACACCUUGCCUUAGCCACACCCCUACGGGAAACAGCAGUGAUAAAAAUUAAGCUAUUAACGAAAGUUAGACUUAGUUAUAUUGUGUAUGGGUUGGUAAAUUUCGUGCCAGCCACCGCGGUCAUACGAUUAACCCUAAUUAAUGAAAAACCGGCGUAAAGCGUGCUAAAAUAUAUUUAAACAAAAUAAAAUUAAGCUUUGACCAAGCCGUAGAAAGCCCUGGUUAAAAUAAAAAUCAAUAAUGAAAAUAAUUUUAGUAUAGUUUAUGCACGAUAGCUAAGGCCCAAACUGGGAUUAGAUACCCCACUAUGCUUAGCCCUAAACCCAGAUAAUUUUUUAAACAAAAUUAUUCGCCAGAGUACUACUAGCAAUAGCCUGAAACUCAAAGGACUUGGCGGUGCUUCAUAUCCCUCUAGAGGAGCCUGUCCUAUAAACGAUAAACCCCGAUAGACCUUACCAACCCUAGCUAAUACAGCCUAUAUACCGCCAUCCUCAGCAAACCCUGAUAAAGGAAAUAUAGUAAGCAAGAUUGUUAAAAUACAAAAACGUUAGGUCAAGGUGUAGCUUAUGAGUUGGAAAGAGAUGGGCUACAUUUUCUCAAAACAGAAAAAAAAACGAACAUUCUUAUGAUAUUAAGAGUUAAAGGAGGAUUUAGUAGUAAGCUAAGAAUAGAGAGCUUGGCUGAAUUAGGCCCUGAAGCACGCACACACCGCCCGUCACCCUCUUCAAAUUUUCAAAAAAACAGCAAAAAUAUUAAAAAUUAUCAGAAAUGAGAAGAGAUAAGUCGUAACAAGGUAAGCAUACUGGAAGGUGUGCUUGGAUGAC
rnacentral:ncRNA from 1 species